rnacentral:lncRNA from 10 species
GUGGAGGUGCCUUCCUGGGCCGAGCCCUCGGAGCAUGCGCACCGAGCAGCCACCCUUUCCCGGCUCUUUUUACCCGGAACCCGGCGCGCCUUGAAGAAGGCAGGCCUAAACCUCGUAGCUCUUGGGGUCCCGGUAACUACUUAGGUCCCGAACUUUUUUAAGUAUGCAGAAGAACCUUAGAAAACGCGUUAGGAAGGGUGAGGACUAACUUGACCUUGAUCUGCUUCCCGACUCAACAGAACCUAGUAAAGAAAAAUGCAGUAGCAUGAAGCAGAGAGCUUGGGGUUCCGCAAGCUCUCCCCCGCUUCUACUGCAGCCCCACUCGUACUCACAGAGAAAAGGCACCUCUGAUCUUAACCUGUAGAUAGUCCAAACUGCUAAGACAAACCCAGGGCUCAGGGCAGUGACAAGAAAUGGAGAACCCAGAAAAAAAAAUAACAAAUAAGAUAAGGGUAAAAAAGAAAAAAAAAAAAAAAGAAAUGAGGACACCAGGCAAGGAGGCGAAAAGCUCACCAACUGAAGCCGUGGAAGUGACUGAAAGCUGCCUCUUUUGUCGUAUGCCAGGGUUUUGUUCUGUGGCCCAAGCUGGAGUGCAGUGUUCUGAUCAUGGCUCGCUGCAGCCUCAACUUCCUGGGCUCAAGUGAUCCUCCCACCUCACCACCCAAGUAGCUGGGACUACAGGCAUGUGUGCCACCAGGCCCAGGUAAUUUUUUUUAUUUUUUGUAAAGAUGGGGUCUCACUAUGUUGCCCAAGCUGGUCUUGAACUCCUCAAGCAAUCCACCUUAGCCUCUCAAAGUGCUGGGAUUACAGGCAUGAGUCACUGUGCCUGGCCCAAGUAUGGAUUUUUUUGCAUUGAUCUUUUGGAGCACACCUGUAAAAUCAAUUCAAAAUUCAGUGUAAAUGAUUAUCAUAUUUAAAAACAACUUGUGGAAUAAGAGAGAAUUACAUCCACUGUGUGCUUAAUGUAUAAUCUGGCCCUAUCUAAUCCUUAGAAGAAUCAUGUAAUUUUUUAUUUAUGGA